rnacentral:lncRNA from 1 species
UUUGCAUGAAACUUAUGCCAAGAAUUUACUUAACGUGAUUGUGACUAGCAAUCUUCACUACUUGUGAAUAUAAGUUCAUAACGAUUAGGUGAAAUUCACUUAUAUUCUAGCAUCAAAUUCAUGCAUGUAAAUUAAGUAUGCAUUCUUAAUCGACAUACAAAAAUAAGUUAUCAAUCAAGCAGUUAAGCAAAUUAAAUCACAACUGAAGGUAAUCAAUUCAUAUUACAAAUAUAUUCAUGGCUUUGAAUUAACCUCUAGCCAAAAUAAAUUUAGUUACACAUUAUUAAAACAGAAAUAAAAUAUAAGUUUGGAAAGAUUUAACCGAGAGAGAAGGAAGUGAAGCUUUGCUUCCUGCCGUGCCUGCCCUCUUUAUAUUUUAUCUAUUUUCCGUCAGUCCUCUCUCCUGCUCUUCCCUUUUCUUCUUUCCUUUCCGCGUUUGCCUCUCUCCCCGCGCCCUGCGUCUCCGCGUCAGUCCUCCUCUUCUUCUGCGAGCUGCCCGUCUGUUUCCCUCCCUUGUUUUCUUUCCGCCCUUAUCCCGCCUGCCUUCUAACCCUGCCCGCGCCCUUCUCUUCGUCUCUCACAUCUCCCCGUGUCUAAGCUGCCUCUAUUUCUGUCCGUGACCUUCCUUUUUGACCUGCCUUCCCCUCACUGACCUGCUGUCUCUCACUCCCUUUCUCACCUCUCUCUUUUUCUACACGCUGUCUUUCUUUUUAUUCUUUUUUCCGCACUACCUCAGUGUUCUCCCGUCUGUUUCCACCUCUCUCACCUACUCUUAUCUGCCCUCUCUGACCUCCUCUUUUCCUUGAUGUCAAUUAGCUUCUUUAUCCUGAAAAUCGAUGAGUCAAAGUAAGUCCCCAUUAUUUAAUUUUUCCAACUGAACUUGAAAGCAGGAAAGAUAACGGACAGGCCAUCCUCUUUAUUUUCUGCCAUUCACUUCCUUUGUUUUCUGUUUUUAGUCUCUUUAUUCCUCUGUCAGUGCACUUUCAUUAUUUUUCUAAUGGUCCACCCAUGUUUCACUUUUCUGUUUAUUAUUUAAAACUCAUUUGUGCUAUUUUUAUUUUCUUUGCAUAAAAGAUCCUAUAAACACAAAAAUAACGUAAAUAGCUCAAAAAUAACGUAAAUAGCUCAAAAAUAUAAAGAACUAACCAAGAAAAGACGAGUGAAUUUGAAGUAAAAAUAUAUAUAAAUAUGAUCCGAUCAAAUACCCCCAUACUUAGCUUUUGCUAGUCCUCGAGCAAAACAAAGAAAACAAGAACAAGUAGUAACAAGAAAAACAUUAGCUUCCCCCUAUGUGACCCUCAUAGAAUUUCAUUUGAGAACACAAAUCAACAAGAACCAUAGCUAGCACCAAGCAAGCUAAUCCAAAUUCAUCUUCCUUAUUCAAAUAUUAGCAGUAAUCUUUAAAUCAUCCUUGAAGUGUAGUGUGUGAGAUAGCCAUGCUAAUGCAAUUUCAAAAAAAAAAUUUAUUUAUUUAUUUUUAAAAUCAUCAUAUGCAAACUAGCAACCUUCUCAUGGGAUAUACACUCAAUCAUACAUGUGUUUAGUUUAAAUGUGUUUCGCUCAAAGAAUCAAAUGUGAAAUUUCUACCAUAAG